rnacentral:misc_RNA from 1 species
AAAGUCGUAACAAGGUUUCCGUAGGUGAACCUGCGGAAGGAUCAUUAAUGCGAGAUCGAGGCGCCCCCUAGCGCCUUCUAGACCUCCCACCCUUUGUAAACGUACCUUGAGUUGCUUUGGCGGGGCGUGGCCAGAAAUGGUCCCGUUGGCUCCACCGGGGCUAGCGUGCCCCCGCCAGAGGAUCAUAAGAAUCUUGCUUUGAAAAACCCCGUCUGAAAAAUUCUAUUUUAAAAAUAGCGAAAAAAACUUUCAACAACGGAUCUCUUGGUUCUG